AUUGGCCUUCAUCUUGAGGGAUUUCUUCAGCUCCCGUGCCCUGGAUUCCCUCUGUGUGACGGAGACUUGGAUCGGUGUCGGACUAUCAGGACUGUUUCAUGCUGAGGAGGGAGAGGAAUCACCAGAACCAUCACACUCACCUGUGGACGUCGGCUGCACCAAUCAGAGGAGAGAUCUCAGAGAUGCUCCCAGUUAUGAGCUGGCGUUAAUAUAUUUCAUUAUGGAGGUUGAAUCCUAAAAAGCUGCUGCGUGACUCACGAAUCUCAGAUUGAGAAGAGACAGAACAAAGCGUGUUUCAUGGAGGGCUGAAACCAACACGUCCAGAGAAAAGACAACACAUGAA